rnacentral:rRNA from 1 species
GUAAUGUGAAUUGCAGAAUUCAGUGAAUCAUCGAAUCUUUGAACGCACAUUGCGCCCGCCAGUAUUCUGGCGGGCAUGCCUGUUCGAGCGUCAUUUCAACCCUCAAGCCCAGCUUGGUGUUGGGACUCGCGAGUCAAAUCGCGUUCCCCAAAUUGAUUGGCGGUCACGUCGAGCUUCCAUAGCGUAGUAGUAAAACCCUCGUUACUGGUAAUCGUCGCGGCCACGCCGUUAAACCCCAACUUCUGAAUGUUGACCUCGGAUCAGGUAGGAAUACCCGCUGAACUUAAGCAUAUCAAUAAGCGGAGGAAAAGAAACCAACAGGGAUUACCCUAGUAACGGCGAGUGAAGCGGCAACAGCUCAAAUUUGAAAUCUGGCUCUCGGGCCCGAGUUGUAAUUUGUAGAGGAUACUUUUGAUGCGGUGCCUUCCGAGUUCCCUGGAACGGGACGCCAUAGAGGGUGAGAGCCCCGUCUGGUUGGAUGCCAAAUCUCUGUAAAGUUCCUUCGACGAGUCGAGUAGUUUGGGAAUGCUGCUCUAAAUGGGAGGUAUAUGUCUUCUAAAGCUAAAUACCGGCCAGAGACCGAUAGCGCACAAGUAGAGUGAUCGAAAGAUGAAAAGCACUUUGAAAAGAGAGUUAAAAAGUACGUGAAAUUGUUGAAAGGGAAGCGUUUAUGACCAGACUUGGGCUUGGUUAAUCAUCUGGGGUUCUCCCCAGUGCACUUUUCCAGUCCAGGCCAGCAUCAGUUUUCGCCGGGGGAUAAAGACUUCGGGAAUGUGGCUCUCUUCGGGGAGUGUUAUAGCCCGUUGUGUAAUACCCUGGCGGGGACUGAGGUUCGCGCAUCUGCAAGGAUGCUGGCGUAAUGGUCAUCA